rnacentral:rRNA from 1 species
CUCAGUAACACGUGGAUAACCUACCCUUAGGACCGGAAUAACCCCGGGAAACUGGGGAUAAUACCGGAUAAGCCAUAGACGCUGGAAUGCCCUAUGGUUCAAAGCUCCGGCGCCUAAGGAUGGAUCUGCGGUCUAUCAGGUUGUAGUGGGUGUAACGUACCUACUAGCCGACGACGGAUACGGGUUGUGAGAGCAAGAGCCCGGAGAUGGAUUCUGAGACACGAAUCCAGGCCCUACGGGGUGCAGCAGGCGCGAACACUUUACAAUGCGGGAAGCCGCGAUAAGGGAACCCCGAGUGCCAGCAUCAAAUGUUGGCUGUCCGGAUGAUUAAAAAUCAUUUGUUAGCAAGGGCCGGGCAAGACCGGUGCCAGCCGCCGCGGUAACACCGGCGGCCCGAGUGGUAGCCGUUUUUAUUGGGUCUAAAGGGUCCGUAGCCGGCCUGAUCAGUCCUUUGGGAAAUCUGGCAGCUUAACUGUCAGGCUUCUAAGGGAUACUGUCAGGCUUGGGACCGGAAGAGGUAAGGGGUACUCCAGGGGUAGGAGUGAAAUCUUGUGAUCCCUGGGGGACCAUCUGUGGCGAAGGCGUCUUACCAGAACGGGUCUGACGGUGAGGGACGAAAGCUGGGGGCGCAAACCGGAUUAGAUACCCGGGUAGUCCCAGCCGCAAACGAUGCUCGCUAUGUGUCAGGUACGGUGCGACCGUAUCUGGUGCCGUAGGGAAGCCGUGAUGCGAGCCACCUGGGAAGUACGGUCGCAAGACUGAAACUAAAG